AAACUGCAGCACACCAACAGAAGUUUUUUUUGGUGCAUUUCUCUCUAUGGAGUCCCAACAAACGCAACUCAACUACACAAUGUAAGGUGGACCAAUACAAGUGUGUGGUUAGCAAAGAACCCUUCAUCACAUGUCCUUUCGUGUGCUUGCUUAAGCAGAACAUCUGUUCGCCUCUGUCUGCUGCAGCUAAACAUUCCUUCAUGUGUUUGCUUCGGCAAAACAUCAUCCAACCAACUUUCCAAAGAACCCUUAAGUUCAGAGACAUGUCUCACCUUGUAUAUUUUUCUAAUUGGGGUCCUCUUCCCUACACAACAUUAUUAGUCUUGGUGUCCAAUUUCAGAAUCUCAAGUUCGCAUUUGCUAUGAUUUACCUAAGAAUCCUUCAAAGCCCAUGUGUUAAAGGUGUGGUCCCCAGUUCACAGUGCUUUGGAGAAGUCAUAGAACCUUUAAGAAGUAGACACUAGUAGGGGUUCAUCCAUUGGGCAGAUGUAAUCGUAAGGGGGAAAUACAGGAACUUUAGUUCCUUCUUUCAAGUUCCUGCCAUGAGCUGAGUAGUUUUGCUGCCCGCUACCACCAUGAUUACAGCAACAGAGAGCUGGCUGAUGAAGCACGUCUGUAGCACAUGAUUCCAUUCUUAUAUGAAGGCUAUGAAGCUCAUCAAAUUGGGAGACAGGUAUGAAAUAUGAGGCUGCUUCAAAUUGUCCACAGCAGCUGACUAUGAUUUGUCUCAUGCUCUGGCAGGGAUGUGAUAAUGCCAGAUGAAGAUAGUUUACAUUUGGAAUUCUGGGGACUCUUCUGGGGGAAUAAAAAUGAUGCAGCAAAGUGAGGGGCUGCUCCCUCUGUUGCUCCUCCUGCUGCUCCUCUUACUGACAGCAGUGGUGAUGGUUACUGUUUGCUGGAUUGCUGGAUUGCUGGAUUGCUGGAUUGCUGGAUUGCUAGAUUGCUGGAUUGCUGGAUUGCUGGAUUGCUGGUUGAAGAUAUCCUGACAAAGAAGAUUGGACUUGCCCCAAGUAACUCCAUUACCCUAAUCAGCAGGAAGUAGUCUAAGGAGAUCCGUACCCCCAAUCUUUCCCCUCUAACCUUCUUUCUCUCCUACCUAGUAUGGGGGGGGGAUAUGUAAGGGAUUACAAUAGAGAAUGGUGGUAGAUAUAAGACCCCAGUAAAGUAGCUGAAAGGUACAGGUACAACUAAGAACUCUGUGGUCAAAAAUACAAGGAUUCCUAUGGACUAGCUAAUCUCUGUUCUUCUGAAACAGCCACAAGUACAUGAAACAUUGGCCUGAAUUCUAAUCUUAAUUCAGCCAUUACGUAUGACAGUCCCUACAGGGACUCAUUUUCCUCAACUGAAGUCUUGGUCUGGGAUGCUUCUCAGUGAUAAGGGAGCACUGGAAAAAAAAAAAAAAAAAAAAAAAAAACCUAACUAAUCUCCAGCACGUGGAAAAAUAACUGUGUCAGGUAAGUACUAAUCUGUUUUGGAAAAAUCAAUCAUCAAUAAGCAAAUAAGUCACUCAAUGAUUAUAUUACCUACAAUCAAUUAUUACUUUGUGUUAUCAGCGUAAUCAUUCACUGUCAAAAUGUCCCUACCGAGGGGACUUGUUUGACUCACUUUGGUCAUUUUCCUUGUAUACAAGAAUAUAACAAAACCGAUAUGCUUGUGAUUGAUUUCUUCCCUUUAGGGGCUGGGUAUAACAUCCGGGGACUUGGACGUGCCAAACAUGCACUCUACUCUUAGGCCUUGAAUUAUUUUAAACGUAUCUUUAUUAUUGUUUUAUUUAUUGUGCUUACUCAUGUAUUGUGGGGGCACACCACACACACACAUUGUGCACACAUUCUGUGAAACCAGAGUCGAGUCACCACUACACUGUGGUUAAGGAGCCACAUUGUUGUUAGAUCCCCAUACCCUACAAGAAUAGGUUUCCAUUGCUAGUUAAGAAUCUGUUUCUGUUUUGUACUUGCAAUGAAAUUGUGACCCCAUGGUGUAGGAUUUCCCUUUGCCUUCUUUUCAUGAUACCUUGAUCUAUACCUGUGCCCACCUACCCCAUAAUGUAUGACUCUCUUUGCACAUGGCAAAUAUCCUUGCUUUUAUUCUUACUUUUUUUUGUAAUUUUUUUCUAGCAGCCAAUUAUCUUGCCCUAUAAACACCCUUCCAGCUGUUUUCUAUUGCCCAUAGCUCCUCCACCCCUGUAAAAGAGACCUCAAAAAGCCAGUAAGAGGCUGAUCUCUCAAAUCGCAACACGUGAGGCAGCCAGCUGGCCAGUUCUAGGUGCACUUCAAAAAUAAAGCUUGCUUUAAUCGGA